CCCAGUCUGUCCUCUUCAAAGCCGCAGAUACACCCGCAUUCAGCAGGGAGAACUCCCAACCUUGGCCAGACUCGAUUACUCCUAACUUCAGCAAUUCAUUCUCUGUUCCUUCCAGCAGCCCGUAUCCUAUCCCAGAAGUGCCCCCAACCUAGCGAUCCGUGCCCGGACACACCCUGCCCCUCCUCCACCCCCGCCGGACCCUGUGGGGGCUGAGUCUUGGGGAGACUGUGCCCUGGAAGAGCUUCCUUAGCCACGGUCCCCAGUGCCCGAACUGACACCAUCUGUCAACUUCAUUUAGGCAGUGCUGCCCUCAGCCACACGCCAGGGUGCCAGACGUCCCAAGGGAAGGCGUUUCAGGGCUCUGCUGUUUAAGAAUGAAAACUGGAAGAGACAAAUCCUGGACUUGGGAAUUUUCCAGUCUGUUUGGCGGAUCUCAGAGAGAAUCAAAUCCACCCCCAACCCAUCCUGAAUUUUUCUGUGACCUUUACCAGGCUACGUUUUGAAAACACUCUUCCUUCUGGUGAACAGUUUUAGAUAGAGGAUGGGGGUGUGACUCUUGGUGUAGAUACUCAGGCCAUAUAAUGCCAGAUGCAAACGCAGAUGUGUAUGAGUUCACAGAAUGGAGGAUAUAAAUGUCCCCACUUUCCUGUGUGCCUUGGGAAGCAUCCAUUCUUUUAUUUAGAGAGGAGAGAGAGAGAAACCCUCAUGGACUCAGAUUUGCUCAAUUUCCUGCCUUAAACAUUCGUACUUUAAAGGAGCUCGUUGGAGCUCUUUUGCAUAUGAAAUUGGACAGCGAUAGCAUAUGUUGGGAAAAUUUGACCAAAGCAACAUUCUUCUUUAAUCUGCACAUGCUGUGGCUUGUGAGAGUUUGUGUUCACAUGCAGACUAACUUAUCAACAUGGAAGAAGUUAGUCCACACACAACAUAGUCCAAGAUAAACUCUUCUCGGAGACAUGGUGAGUGAUUCUAAAGACUCCCCCUGAAAAGGAUAUUUCGAAAGUUUAUUCAGCUCUAUUCACUUUAAAUAAGGGUGAAGACAUUAGUGGAUUAUUCUUACAGUUGUUUUGAGUUACCAUGCAGGAGGCGAUCGAUUGAAGGCUUAAGCAUAACAUUUUGAGUUUACUCUUUGAUUAUUUGUUAUUAAGAAAUUAAUUUUAGAGUUGAUCACGACAGAAUGAGGUCUUUAACUUAAAAUGUUUUUCAACUUUGUCAUACAGAUUGGUGUACAGCUUACGUAAUUUUCAUAUUUUCAAAAAGUAUUUCCAGGACCAUUGCGGUAUGCCAGCACCUUUGCCAUGUACGAUCAAUGGUAAAGUUAACUUGCUGAACUGCUCUGCUGCCUGCUACACACUAGAAUUAUUUAUGAGAACUCUAAACAAUGGCAGACUAGCUAGUUCUGGGGCCUGAAUUGAGCCCCCCCCCCCCUCAAAUCUGAAGCUGUAACAGCCAGCACUUCAGAAUCUAAAUCUGGUCAUUGUGUUUUGUAAGAGGCUAUUAGGACAAAAUGGAGUGUUCCCUACCUGUGUGUGACUGAUGCUCUUGGGAGAAGAGAUCAGACCCAGACAGAGGGACACAAUUUGAGAACACAGAGGAAGACUCCAUCCAAAAGCUAAGGAGAGAACUCUGCCUGUGCCUUGAUCUUGGACUAAAUAAAAACUAAUGUUGCAACUUCA
rnacentral:lncRNA from 1 species